rnacentral:rRNA from 1 species
UACGUAGGUGGCAAGCGUUGUCCGGAUUUAUUGGGCGUAAAGAGCGUGUAGGCGGCUUGGUAGGUCCGCUGUGAAAACUCGAGGCUCAACCUCGAGAUGUCGGCGGAAACCACUUGGCUAGAGUCCGGAAGAGGAGAGUGGAACUGCGAGUGUAGAGGUGAAAUUCGUAGAUAUUCGCAAGAACACCAGUGGCGAAGGCGGCUCUCUGGGACGGUACUGACGCUGAGACGCGAAAGCGUGGGGAGCGAACAGG